rnacentral:rRNA from 1 species
UACGGAGGGUGCAAGCGUUAAUCGGAAUUACUGGGCGUAAAGCGUGCGCAGGCGGUUUGUUAAGUCCGCUGUGAAAUCCCCGAGCUCAACUUGGGAAUUGCAGUGGAUACUGGCAAGCUGGAGUAUGGUAGAGGAAGGUGGAAUUCCCGGUGUAGCAGUGAAGUGCGUAGAGAUCGGGAGGAACACCAGUGGCGAAGGCGGCCUUCUGGACCAAUACUGACGCUCAUGCACGAAAGCGUGGGGAGCAAACAGG